rnacentral:rRNA from 1 species
UACCAGACUCCUACGGGAGGCAGCAGUGAGGAAUAUUGGUCAAUGGGCGGGAGCCUGAACCAGCCAAGUCGCGUGAAGGAAGAAGGUACUUAGUAUUGUAAACUUCUUUUGUCGGGGAACAAAGGCGGAGACGCGUCUCCGGAUGAGUGUGCCCGAAGAAAAAGCAUCGGCUAACUCCGUGCCAGCAGCCGCGGUAAUACGGAGGGUGCGAGCGUUAAUCGGAAUUACUGGGCGUAAAGCGCUCGUAGGCGGUAUGUCAAGUCAAGGGUGAAAUCCCCGCGCUCAACGUGGGAACUGCCUUUGAAACUGGCAAGCUGGAGUGUGUGAGAGGAUAGUGGAAUUCCAGGUGUAGGAGUGAAAUCCGUAGAUAUCUGGAGGAACAUCAGUGGCGAAGGCGACUAUCUGGCACAUAACUGACGCUGAGGAGCGAAAGCGUGGGUAGCAAACAGGAUUAGAUACCCGAGUAU